GCUCCCCAAAAAUUCCACGUGAGCCAGCCUCGGACUGGACUGGAAUUACAUUACUGUGAAACUUGGAAGACAGAAGAGCUUUCUUUUUUUCUCCUCCCUAGUGCUAUAAAUCAAACCAUUUCCAAAUUCUUCAUCAAUCUCCGGCUUUCAGGAAGUUAUAAGGAAAGUGGAACAGAGAGAGGGUAUUGUAACUGACGGAGAAGAAAAUAUCUACUCUUUGCAAUCCUUGUUGGAGCAGCUUGGUGUUCAUUUCACUGCAGGCUGUAUUGAAAAGUGAUUACCUGGGAGGGUUUUAGUUACAUUGGACUUCAACAAAGGCAGCACCAGAUGAUCAAGAAGCAUUUUAAACGCAAGCUCAGGCCUUCUUUAUUUUUUAUGAACUGCUUACUAGCCCCCAUGGCUAAUGCUUUGAGUUGGCUCAUUUGCUUCUGUAGCCAUAGGAUCUUCCAGAGAGGGACCUUUUCCCUCUCACCGGAUUGCAGCACAGACUGCCAGACCCACUGUCUCAUAGACUGCGGGCAGGGACAUUACUACGUAGCUGGCAACUGCUUGGAAUGUCCGACAGGUUUCUAGUAAGUCUCCUUCCUUAUAGAUCCCUGCAGAGAUCCCAAUCCUUUAUAGAUCCGUGCAUCUGUGGCUAAAAGGGCAUUUGUAUGUGUAGUUGGUGAGAGGCAUG
rnacentral:lncRNA from 1 species